CUCACGCCUCGGUAACACGCGCUCUGCUCUCUGCAGCGUGGCGAUUUAGAGGUAAUAUUUCCUUUUUGGACAAUGGGUGACGCUGAGGAUGAGUGUCUGCACGACAGACGGACACAGAUGAUGCCCGGACAGGUGGUGUAACGUUAGAUACUGCAGGUGAUAUGUCAAGUAAAAGCUCUCACUGGCUGAGCAGAAGACAGCUAGAUACACCUCCAGCUGUGCUCUCAGUCAAACUCUGAAACCACGCGUGUUGAGCACCAGCUCUGGGCCACUCUAUCCCGCAACACGUGAGCUGCCACAGGAACUUGUAAUUCAAAUGCAUCAGAUCCUCAGCAAGUCAAAGGCAGACAGUAUAAUGGUAAAAUAUCAAAAGCCCCGGUCACCCUGACAGCUAUAUUUCAUCAACGAUGAUCCUCCUAAACUGCCUCCCAGCUUCUCUUGGUCUAACUAAGUUGUCAGUUGUACCAUAUGGGAAGCACUACCUUCCUGCUGUCAAAUAAUCACUGAAUAUUUGCCUCCUGUCGCAGGUGGACUUCUGAGAGCUCCUUCAGCUUUGCAUGAAAUGACAGAGGCGAAGAUGAUUCUGAAUGGAUAAUGGGGUAUGGAUUGAAAUACUAGCUGCAGUGACUGGAAAAUUCAAGGGUACUAAAUCAAUGAGGCUAGAAAAUAUUCAACCAGCACAUUCCAAAUAAAAUAAACCAUGACAUAGUACACGUAUCUUUUAAAAACAGCAGUUUUCCCUGAAUAUGGCUAAAUUGUUAAGCUGGUGUUGAUCUUCCAUAGAUGAGCAAAAGGAGAGAGGAAAAAAAAUGUCUAGGCAGGUGGCCUGCUCUCAAUGAUUGCAAAACUGACGGAGUCUGUAAUUAACACUUGGCCAAUUAUGACCUCCCAAUGUCAAGCUGUUGCUGUAGUUCAGAGGGGAAACGUGCCUUUCAUUUUGAAAUGACCUUUAGAAGCAAGCCUUCAGUCAGUUGUACUGUAUAUGUAUAAUCUUCAGUCAGUUGUACUGCAUAUGUAUAUGUAUAAUCUUCAGUCAGUUGUACUGUAUAUGAAAGGAAAUCUCAAAACAAAGGAACAAUACCCAGUAGUUUUCAAUAACAAAACCCAAUUGUUGUGAGCAGCUGCCCCACGGCCUGGAGAGAAGUUAAUCCAGUGACUACUAAUGAUUUUCUUCCCCUCAUAAUAAUGUGUAGGAGAAAGUGAAGAACAGUAUGUCAAUGACUAAACAGCUCUAUUGAAUCACUGUUUUGGAGAAACUGUGGGUUUAACCAUCUUCUGUCUUUUACCACGAUUUUCCUCACUUCGUUGAGAUAAAUAGAGUAUAGGAAGCCUGGAUCUUAACUCUUCUUGCAGUUCACAGGGACAAUAAAAGAGGCAAUACGAAUCUCUCCCAGCAAGCUCCCACUUGCCCGCCCCUGCUAGAAGGUCUCUCUGGCAGGAGGAUCAGGAGGAGCAGAGCUGCAGAACAGCACUGUUCUAGACUUUAUAGUAUACACAAAGAAUAUCCUUAUGGAUAUUAUAUUUUAUCUCUCCUGGGAGGCACAACUGAGAUUACACUCCAGAUUUGACUGUUAACAAGGCCAAAUUACAACACUGAAUCUUGCUUUGCAUUUCAUGAACAUGUGACUUUUGGUUAUACCACAAGUAGUGAAGUUAACCAGAAAUGAGAGGUACACAUCUGUCUGCCCUGAGGAUUUCUGAUGUAGCUUCUCAAGUUACCAGACAGAUUCCCAGAGUGUUUAAAUUCACUCUACGGACCCUGCUUAGCAGCUGUGCUAUGGCAUAGAUGUUGGCUAUCACAUGUAUAGAUAUCCUCCCAAAAUCGAGGAGCAAAGAUGUAUCCCUGAAUUUCAGGACCCCACAUGCUGAACCACAGUGAGUUAACGGGGAAUGCUGUCAGUUUACCGUGAGGACAGCAUGCAGUGUGGAUGGCACCUGAUGUGCCUGAACAAGCGUUCUGUGGGCAUCUAUACAUCUGAAACCUCUGUGGCCGCAGGUGGCUAUGUCCAGGAAGCCCCCAGACUGCUGCAUUCGAGUGAUGCAGAUACAACCCGCACAUGUGCACCAGUCUAAGCAGACCAUCAAAAUCUAUCAGAAAUGUUUCAUUUUAAACUUACCAGGUAAAGUGUCUGUGUUUGUGAAGGUGUAAAUUUACUGGUUUUAAAUGACUAAAAAGAUCUCUUCUUAGAUGUACCAGGAAGACAGAAGCCUUUUAUUUUAUGAACAUUAAAAAGAAGAAAGCACAGUCAUCUUACACAAAAGCCAAGAAAUUAAUAAUAAAGGAAAACAGACUUCCUAAUCAGGAGAUACAGUUCACUUAAUACUGAACAGCAUAUCAUUAAAUCAAUUGAAAUAAUUCCAGCAUUUGAUGAAUUACUCAUUGGAUGGUUGGUUAUUUUCAUAGAUGUCCUUACAGCCUCAGUAGUGAGUCUAGGUUUGCUGCUAGAUGUAGCCAAAAUAUUCAGUUACUUAUCGCAACAAAUUGGAAGAAGAGAAGUUGGGUUAGGUUGAGUUGGGUUGGGUUGGGUUGGAAGGGACCUUCAAAGGACAUCUAGUCCAACCCCCAAUAUUACCAGUGUAGCUCUGCUCAGCUGCCCCCACCACAGUCAGCCACUGAGGAACAGACCAGUGUACGGGGGACCCUCUGCACCACCACAGAUCUCAGCCUUCUGGAUCUUCGUCCAUCCUACUUUUCUUUCCCGGUUCUGUCUCUAUGAUUCCCAUCACAGAUGCAGUCAUGGGCCUGUCAUGGCUACACAAAAUGGAACUUUUGCCUCCAAUUCUGAGAGGCUUUGAGCUGGCUUGAAUGUAAGCACAUGAGUAUAGGCUCAGAUCCACAAAUGGACUUUGGUGUUACCAUGUUUAACUUUUUCCUAGCUAACUCCCUCAGCAAAAUGCAGGACUCAGAAUGAAGUCCUACAAACACUCAAGUACUCUGGGCAUUUCAGUGGCCGACACAAGUUCAGAAGAACUCCGGACCACCAAUAGAGGAGCCAUUGAAGCUUGGUAGUGAGAAAUACUGAGGACUGGGAAGCCUGAACUCCCAGGGCUGUACAGGCUUUGUCAGAUCUCACCUGUUGGAUGAACCAUCAAGUCAGACUGUGCAGCACGUGGUCAGGGUCAUACCCUUCUUCUUCUUCUUGCUGUUCUGCGACUGUGUUCUGAGUAUUAAACACUGCAGAAGAAAAGUCUCUGAAAUUUUAAUGCAGUCACAGGAUUGCUCCUACCUUUACACAACACAUUGAAAUAUCAAUGGCGUUUAUAAUUUAAAAUGGAUUUGAUAUUGCAAGUAAUAAUAAUAAACAACUUGGUAUGAACUUUUUGUUAUCUUGUAAGUUGGAAAUAAACCUGAUUCAAUUUGAAAGUUA